CACACGACUCUCGGCAACGGAUAUCUCGGCUCUCGCAUCGAUGAAGAACAUAGCGAAAUGCGAUACCUGGUGUGAAUUGCAGAAUCCCGUGAACCAUCGAGUCUUUGAACGCAAGUUGCGCCCGAGGCCAUUCGGCCGAGGGCACGCCUGCCUGGGCGUCACGC
rnacentral:rRNA from 1 species